rnacentral:rRNA from 1 species
AUUGAACGCUGGCGGCAGGCCUAACACAUGCAAGUCGAGCGGAGCGGCGGACGGGUGAGUAAUGCUUAGGAAUCUGACUAUUAGUGGGGGAUAACAUCCCGAAAGGAACGCUAAUACCGCAUCCUAUUAGAGAAGCCUAAGUCGCACUAGCGUGUUGGUGUGGUGAAGGCAUACCAAGGCGACGAGCUGUAGCGGGUCUGAGAGGAUGAUCCGCCACACUGGAACUCAGACACGGCCCAUACGCCUACGGGAGGCAGCAGUGGGGAAUAUUGGACAAUGGGAGAAAGCCUGAUGCAGCCAUGCCGCGGGUGUGAAGAAGGCCUUCGGGUUGUAAAGUACUUUCAGCGGGGAGGCGUUACCCGCAGAAGAAGCACCGGCUAACUCCGUGCCAGCAGCCGCGGUAAGAC